ACCUUGUGUGGUGUAAUUGGUAGCACCUUGGCACAGUAAUUCUAUGUCCUAGGUUCAAGUCCUAGUCGGGGUA